rnacentral:misc_RNA from 1 species
GAUGAAGAACGCAGCAAAAUGCGAUAAGUAAUGUGAAUUGCAGAAUUCAGUGAAUCAUCGAAUCUUUGAACGCACAUUGCGCCCGCCAGUAUUCUGGCGGGCAUGCCUGUUCGAGCGUCAUUUCAACCCUCAAGCACAGCUUGGUGUUGGGACUCGCGUUAAUUCGCGUUCCCCAAAUUGAUUGGCGGUCACGUCGAGCUUCCAUAGCGUAGUAGUAAAACCCUCGUUACUGGUAAUCGUCGCGGCCACGCCGUUAAACCUCAACUUCUGAAUGUUGACCUCGGAUCAGGUAGGAAUACCCGCUGAACUUAAGCAUAUCAAUAAGCGGAGGA